rnacentral:misc_RNA from 1 species
GUUCAAUACCUCCUCCUUUAGGGAAUCAAUUCACUCUUAAGAUCAUAUGAUCAUCUUACAGUUUCCGAGCGAGAGUAAGGUCAGAUUCUUGAUUGAACUCAACUACAGAACUUCGCCAUAGACAGAAUAAGCUGUCAAGUCAAAUCAUCUCAACCAACUGAAACAGCCACCUCCAGGAUUUCAUCUGAGCUGGAUGAGCCAAAAUCAACGCUAGUAGACCUGCCUGUGUGCACAUUGCUGAUGUUUACCUGAUGAACUAUCUCAUCAAUCAAUUCUGCAUAUGCUUCCCUUGAAAGGAUUCCAGAAGUUGAAACAUCAGUCAAUAGAGUAAAGAGUGAAGCAGAAUGGCGGGAU